rnacentral:rRNA from 1 species
UACAGAGGGGGCAAGCGUUGUUCGGAAUUACUGGGCGUAAAGGGCGCGUAGGCGGCCUGCUAAGUCGAACGUGAAAUCCCUGGGCUCAACCCAGGAACUGCGUCCGAUACUGGUUGGCUUGAAUCCGGGAGAGGGACGUGGAAUUCCAGGUGUAGCGGUGAAAUGCGUAGAUAUCUGGAGGAAUACCGGUGGCGAAGGCGGCAUUCUGGACCAUUACUGACGCUGAGGCGCGAAAGCUAGGGGAGCAAACGGG